AUGUUUAUAUCAGAGCAGUUGUGUUGUUCAUUUUUAAAUCAGAAGUUGUGUUGUUCAUGUUUAUAUCAGAAGUUGUGUUGUUCAUGUUUAUAUCAGAGCAGUUGUGUUGUUCAUGUUUAUAUCAAAAGUUGUGUUGUUCAUGUUUAUCAGAAGUUGUGUUGUUCAUGUUUAUAUCAGAAGUUGUGUUGUUCAUGUUUAUAUCAGAAGUUGUGUUGUUCAUGUUUAUAUCAGAAGAUGUGUUGUUCAUGUUUAUAUCAGAAGUUGUGUUGUUCAUGUUUAUAUCAGAAGUUGUGUUGUUCAUGUUUAUAUCAGAAGUUGUGUUGUUCAUGUUUAUAUCAGAACAGUUGUGUUGUUCAUGUUUAUAUCAAAAGUUGUGUUGUUCAUGUUUAUCAGAAGUUGUGUUGUUCAUGUUUAUAUCAGAAGUUGUGUUGUUCAUGUUUAUAUCAGAAGUU
ensembl:lncRNA